CCUACGGGGGGCUGCAGUGGGGAAUAUUGGACAAUGGGCGCAAGCCUGAUCCAGCUAUGCCGCGUGAGUGAGGAAGGCCUUAGGGUUGUAAAACUCUUUCAGUGGGGAAGAUAAUGACGGUACCCACAGAAGAAGUCCCGGCAAACUCCGUGCCAGCAGCCGCGGUAAUACGGAGGGGGCAAGCGUUGUUCGGAAUUAUUGGGCGUAAAGGGCAUGUAGGCGGUUCGGUAAGUUAAAGGUGAAAUGCCAGGGCUUAAC
rnacentral:rRNA from 1 species